UGAAACAAGCAGUGGGGACUCCGUGCCUUUGAAGCUGUCUACCGUCCGCUCACCACCAUUGAGAAGCUGUCUCCCCCUGCGGGCACCGUGGUGCACAGGAAUAUUACCCGAUUGACAUGAAAAUAACAAAGGCGAAACACCCUGCCUUCUCAAAAUAGUCUCAACAACCCUGUGAGAGACGUGCCCAAGUACACGGACUCUGUCUGCUGUAUACAAACAACCACAGAGUCCUUCCCUGAGAUACUAUUCCCUAUCGAAGAAC